UUUGGUAGGCAGCUGAACAUUGGUGCUCUGAGGAGCAAGGAGUGACCUUUGGAAACCACUUUAUUGGCAAUGAAGAUGAGGAAUCAUCCAGCAUCUAUGUCACAUUUGGAUAUGAACCUGAUGAACUGUUCAAAUCCACCCACUGGGUAAGCCAGGAAAGCAAGGCGAAUCAAUCACUGGCUGACAUUUGUAGCCCCGAGACCCUGGUUUCAACCCCUCCUUCCCCUUCUCUGAAAAGGGAACCCAGAAAAAUGUGGAGCCCCACAAAGAGGGGGUGGCCGGGAGAAGAAACCCAAAGACUUCAAUUACCCUGGAAGAGAUCUGAUGACUCUCUGUGGCUGUACCUCCCUGAGAUCCAGUUCACUUGGAAGUCAAGACAUCACUCCAUGAUGUCACUGCUCCUUUUGGAAAAUGGAGGACAAAUGAACAACAGCUAUUGUGACAGGAAAACUCUUUUUCUACCUUUGGAAAAUGUUUUAAAGAAUAGUAAAGGGGACAACUAGAUGGUUCAACGGAUUGAGAGUCGGACCCAGAGACAGGAGGUCCUGGCUUCAUAUUUGCCCAUAGAACCUUUCCUAGCUGUGUGUUAGAAUCCCUAUUGUAGAGUCCUUACUACUCUUCUGCCUUGGAACCACCACAAAGUAUUCAUUGAUUCUGGGAUGGAAGGUAAGGGUUAAGAAAAAAUAAAGAAUAGUAAAGAAGCCUACAGUCUAGAUGAAAUAAAUCAAAUGAAUAUUGACAUCUUUCUGAUAAUUUUAGGAUGUUUAGUGUAGCUCAAGAUGCAGUGAUGGAUUUUCAAGGAAAGCUUCUAGGAGUGCUUCAUAGAAGAUGAAUACUUAAUGAAUGGUUGAAAGGUUAUUCUUCAGUUUAAAUUAAUCUAUGACUUGUCUAAGUCCUUGUCUCAGGAAAAAACGUAUGAUAGCAAAUGAUCAUUAACUCUGUCUUUAGGGAGUUUUUAGCUUCUUUAUAGGCUCUGAAUAGGUGUGAACUUCUAUUACUUUAUUCAUUUAUUUGCUCAUUCAGUCAAUUCACCAAUUCAUUUAUUCAUUCCAUAAACAUUUAUUAGGUAAGUCCAUUGAAUGCUCUCCUAUAUGCCUUUCUAUGACAUUUCCUUGGCUUGCGGAUGCUCUGCCCAGCUAUGGGAAUCCAAUCUUUCCUUCAAGGUCCUGUUCAGAUUCUCCUGGAAAUUUUCCCUGCUUACUAUAGCUCACAGUUCUUUUCUCCUCUGAUGGUCAUUUCAUAUACUAUCCAUAUCUAUUAAUUUUGAAUGUGUCAUAUUGCUUUCUGUUAUUACUUUAGUUUUGAAUUGUCUAUAUUAUCUUUGCGGUUGUAUUGCAAGCUUCUAUGGGAUAAGGGAGGACUAUAUUUUAUGUAUUUUUUCAUGUCUCUUGCACCAUUUAGAAAAUAUUUGCUAGUUUUACAUAUAUAGUGCUUGGCAUUUUUAAAGGUAGCUUGAAUCUGCAGGUUUUAGAUUAGAAGGUAGCAGAA